UAAUUCGAUGCUGCGUUCAACUUAAAUAAUGGUCGGCUAUUUCUCUUAAAUGAGCUAUUGCGAUGAUUCCCCGUUCUGCUGCUUUUAUUGUCACCGAAAUGAUAUGCUCACAUGUCCGUGUUCGUGGCCUUAGUCAUCAUAAUUAUAUAACGAGCGUGCAUAGCCCCUACACAAAGCGCUCGCUGACAAUGGCCAAAGAAGUAAUAGUGAUGUUUUGCCCCAACUGUGAACACCAAAGGACACUUGAUGAAAUGACGUAACAACUUCAACGCCCUGCGACGUUGCAUAGCUUUCGAGCCGCUGUCGAGCUCAAUUCACUGCGUACGACAGUGAAUCGAACGGUCACUACGUUUACAACGCUUGUGAUGUCGAUGGGAAACGGUAUAGGCAAUGCCGCUGAAGUCGGUCCCCUAUCACUGCCAUACACCAAGCAUUCGUGUGAAAAGGAACCAUUCCAAGUGAGCGCCAAUUUGUAUAAUUCACAAUUUUCCAGUUCACAGGGGCAUUUAUGGCUGGCAUGCUUCACCACGCACCUACCGUAGAUACGGACGGCUGUUCAGGGUCAUCUGACCAACUUAACACAAGUUAUCGUCCAGAAGUUUAGUUGUGGGACUCGAUUGUUUCUUAGUAGCAUUUACUGACGAUAGCGGACCAAUGGGAACGCCUUGAAUCAAAUCGUCUAUGAGAAGCAUCAGAUAGCGAAAAAAUGCAGUCUAUUAAAUCUGACAACAAACGCUCGCUUUUCGUCUCACAUUGUCUGCACGGAAGUUACCGUUGUUCUCUUGUCUCAAACAAUCCACGGCGACUUCAUUCACAGCGGUGUCUGCAAAAGAGGGCAAUGUGCGACAGGACGUACAUCACGACACUCAAAAAAACUAACUCGGCUAUGAGCAAUGUUUGCAGUACAAGAUUAACAAAUGGUUAUGAGAUUAAGGUUCCCUCGGCGUUUCCCAAAAGCUCUUCGCUGCUGUUUCUCCUAAUGUCGAUGGGCCCUUGAAAGUGGGGAUAGUCGACUAGACUUCUGCCUCGCCAGCCAAGUCAGGCACCAGCUGUCAGCGGUUGUAGGAACUAUAGAUACACGAGGCCGGGAAAGAACGUCCGCUGCACACUCGACUGAACUCUUUCGCUGGCUGAGUCGCAGUCUUUACAGCCGUAGCCGUCGCUGACACUGCCGUUGAUACGGAUUGAUGGCAGAUACUUCGACGUGCAGCCACCACUGUAGCACGCUCGAGUGAGCUUGCCCUUUUUUAAUAGAAAGCGGAUAGCCAAAAAAGGAUUGAGCUGAGCGGGCAGCCAGCGGACU